UGAGGGAGAAAGUGGGGGAUCUUCGGACCUCACGCUAUCAGAUGAGCCUAGGUCGGAUUAGCUAGUUGGUGGGGUAAAGGCCUACCAAGGCGACGAUCCGUAACUGGUCUGAGAGGAUGAUCAGUCACACUGGAACUGAGACACGGUCCAGACUCCUACGGGAGGCAGCAGUGGGGAAUAUUGGACAAUGGGCGAAAGCCUGAUCCAGCCAUGCCGCGUGUGUGAAGAAGGUCUUCGGAUUGUAAAGCACUUUAAGUUGGGAGGAAGGGCAGUAAGUUAAUACCUUGCUGUUUUGACGUUACCAACAGAAUAAGCACCGGCUAACUUCGUGCCAGCAGCCGCGGUAAUACGAAGGGUGCAAGCGUUAAUCGGAAUUACUGGGCGUAAAGCGCGCGUAGGUGGUUCAGCAAGUUGGAUGUGAAAUCCCCGGGCUCAACCUGGGAACUGCAUCCAAAACUACUGAGCUAGAGUACGGUAGAGGGUGGUGGAAUUUCCUGUGUAGCGGUGAAAUGCGUAGAUAUAGGAAGGAACACCAGUGGCGAAGGCGACCACCUGGACUGAUACUGACACUGAGGUGCGAAAGCGUGGGGAGCAAACAGGAUUAGAUANCCUGGUAGUCCACGCCGUAAACGAUGUCGACUAGCCGUUGGGAUCCUUGAGAUCUUAGUGGCGCAGCUAACGCGAUAAG
rnacentral:rRNA from 1 species